UACGGAAGGCAGCAGUGGGGAAUAUUGCACAAUGGGCGCAAGCCUGAUGCAGCCAUGCCGCGUGUAUGAAGAAGGCCUUCGGGUUGUAAAGUACUUUCAGCGGGGAGGAAGGCGAUGUGGUUAAUAACCGCGUCGAUUGACGUUACCCGCAGAAGAAGCACCGGCUAACUCCGUGCCAGCAGCCGCGGUAAUACGGAGGGUGCAAGCGUUAAUCGGAAUUACUGGGCGUAAAGCGCACGCAGGCGGUCUGUUAAGUCAGAUGUGAAAUCCCCGGGCUUAACCUGGGAACUGCAUUUGAACUGGCAGGCUUGAGUCUCGUAGAGGGGGUAGAAUUCCAGGUGUAGCGGUGAAAUGCGUAGAGAUCUGGAGGAAUACCGGUGGCGAAGGCGGCCCCUAGACGAAGACUGACGCUCAGGGUGCGAAAGCGUGGGGAGCAAACGAGGAUUAGGAUACC
rnacentral:rRNA from 1 species